UUCAGAGGAGGGUCUUCUGAGGCUGCUGCCAGUGGUCAAAGCCUCCAAAACAUCUCUGUUGAAUGCCUGUGAUCUGUCAGAGACAUGCUGUGAAGCUCUGGCCUCAGUUCUCAGCUCCAACUCCUCUAGUCUGAGAGAGCUGGACCUGAGUAUCAACUCUCUGAAUGAUUCAGGAGUGAAGAUGCUCUCUGCUGGACUAGGAAGUCCACACUGUACACUGGAAACUCUCAGGCUGAAUCACUGUGAGCUGUCAGAGACAUGCUGUGAAGCUCUGGCCUCAGUUCUCAGCUCCAAUUCCUCUAGUCUGAGAGUGCUGGACCUGAGUGACAAUGAUCUGCAGGAUUCAGGAGUGAAGCUGCUCUCUGCUGGACUGGGGAGUCCACACUGUACACUGGAAACGCUCAGGUCUGUUCUAUUCAAUUGUCAAACAGUUACAGCACAAGUUAUAUAACUCAGUUUAUGACUCAGUACCUGUGAUGACUACCUUAAUGACUUUGGUUUCAUUGGAAAUGUUAAACCGUGUUGUUUAGGUGGAUUUCAACUUUUCUGCAACUUUUCAAUUAGACACAUAAACAUGAACUAAAAAUACAAUAAUAGUGCCCCCCCACCAUCCCCCGUACACGGUACGGUGAUAGUUUAGAGCAGGGUGAAGUACAGGGGGUCUUGGGAGGGUCUGAGAUCCCUAGUUGGACACCUCACACCCCCUGAAAUCCUCAACAGCAACAUUCUGGAGGGUCUCUUGAAAGAUAUAAAAAUAACUUGCAAUUGUCACAUGUAUGUGUUUUUAAAGCUUACUUUGUUCA